GUGUCAGCAGCCGCGGUAAUACGAAGGGUGCAAGCGUUAAUCGGAAUUACUGGGCGUAAAGCGUGCGUAGGUGGUUUCUUAAGUCUGCUGUGAAAGCCCUGGGCUCAACCUGGGAAUGGCGGUGGAUACUGAGGAGCUAGAGUGCGGUAGAGGAGGGUGGAAUUCCCGGUGUAGCGGUGAAAUGCGUAGAGAUCGGGAGGAACAUCAGUGGCGAAGGCGGCCCUCUGGACCAGCACUGACGCUGAGGCACGAAAGCGUGGGGAGCAAACAGGAUUAGAUACCCUGGUAGUCC
rnacentral:rRNA from 1 species